rnacentral:rRNA from 1 species
CUAACUACGUGCCAGCAGCCGCGGUAAUACGUAGGGUGCAAGCGUUGUCCGGAAUUAUUGGGCGUAAAGAGCUCGUAGGCGGUUUGUCGCGUCUGCUGUGAAAACUGGAGGCUCAACCUCCAGCCUGCAGUGGGUACGGGCAGACUAGAGUGCGGUAGGGGAGAUUGGAAUUCCUGGUGUAGCGGUGGAAUGCGCAGAUAUCAGGAGGAACACCGAUGGCGAAGGCAGAUCUCUGGGCCGUAACUGACGCUGAGGAGCGAAAGCGUGGGGAGCGAACAGGAUUAGAUACCCUGGUAGUCCACGCCGUAAACGUUGGGAACUAGAUGUGGGGACCAUUCCACGGUCUCCGUGUCGCAGCUAACGCAUUAAGUUCCCCGCCUGGGGAGUACGGCCGCAAGGCUAAAACUCAAAGGAAUUGACGGGGGCCCGCACAAGCGGCGGAGCAUGCGGAUUAAUUCGAUGCAACGCGAAGAACCUUACCAAGGCUUGACAUAUACGAGAACGGGCCAGAAAUGGUCAACUCUUUGGACACUCGUAAACAGGUGGUGCAUGGUUGUCGUCAGCUCGUGUCGUGAGAUGUUGGGUUAAGUCCCGCAACGAGCGCAACCCUCGUUCUAUGUUGCCAGCACGUUAUGGUGGGAACUCAUAGGAGACUGCCGGGGUCAACUCGGAGGAAGGUGGGGAUGACGUCAAAUCAUCAUGCCCCUUAUGUCUUGGGCUUCACGCAUGCUACAAUGGCCGGUACAAAGGGCUGCAAUACCGUAAGGUGGAGCGAAUCCCAAAAAGCCGGUCUCAGUUCGGAUUGAGGUCUGCAACUCGACCUCAUGAAGUCGGAGUCGCUAGUAAUCGUGGAUCAGCAACGCCACGGUGAAUACGUUCCCGGGCCUUGUACACACCGCCCGUCAAGUCAUGAAAGUCGGUAACACCCAACGCCAGUGGCCUAACCCGUA